rnacentral:rRNA from 1 species
UACGUAGGGUGCAAGCGUUAAUCGGAAUUACUGGGCGUAAAGCGUGCGCAGGCGGUUGUGCAAGACAGAUGUGAAAUCCCCGGGCUCAACCUGGGAACUGCAUUUGUGACUGCAUCGCUGGAGUACGGCAGAGGGGGGAUGGAAUUCCGCGUGUAGCAGUGAAAUGCGUAGAUAUGCGGAGGAACACCGAUGGCGAAGGCAAUCCCCUGGGCCUGUACUGACGCUCAUGCACGAAAGCGUGGGGAGCAAACAGG